rnacentral:rRNA from 1 species
CAGUAGCCGCGGUAAUACGAAGGGUGCAAGCGUUAUUCGGAUUGAUUGGGUGUAAAGGGUGUGCAGACGGCUUAUUAAGUCACUUGUUAAAUUCUUCGGCCUAACUGAAGGUCUGCAAGUGAUACUGAUGAGCUAGAGGGUGGAAGAGAGAAGUGGAAUUCUCGGAGUAGCGGUAAGAUGCGUAGAUCUCGAGAGGAACACCAAUGGCGAAGGCAGCUUCUUGGUCCAUUCCUGACGUUCAUACACGAAAGCGUGGGGAGCAAACAGGAUUAGAUACCCCAGUAGUCCCUGUCUCUUAUAA